rnacentral:rRNA from 1 species
UACGUAGGGGGCAAGCGUUGUCCGGAUUUAUUGGGCGUAAAGGGUGCGUAGGCGGGUUGAUAAGUCAGUGGUGAAAGCCCAACGCUUAACGUUGGAACUGCCAUUGAUACUGUCGAUCUUGAAUGUGUUUGAUGUGGGUGGAAUAUGACAUGUAGCGGUGAAAUGCUUAGAUAUGUCAUAGAACACCGAUUGCGAAGGCAGCUCACAAAGCCACUAUUGACGCUGAGGCACGAAAGCGUGGGGAUCAAACAGG